rnacentral:misc_RNA from 1 species
AAGUCGUAACAAGGUCUCCGUAGGUGAACCUGCGGAGGGAUCAUUAACACGUUUCCAACGUAUCAACCAAACGCGAACCGAAGCGAAACACGCAAGUGGAGUAGUUUCAGACCCGACCUAAAAGAAGAAAGUCGUUUAGUUUCACUAGUGAUGGGCGAACUUUGGUUAAAACUUAACCGUUUUAAUCAAAUAGUAGCGGUGAAAUUGGACUCACAUAGCUCGACUAUGAAGGCUCUUAUUCUUUUAGGGUAUAACAUUUCUCAUCAUCACGGGAAGCAACAACCCCUUUCACCCCCUAUGACAAUUGACUGAAAACCAUCCGAAUGGGAGAAAUCCUGUUAUGAUGUUAAACACAACUAAAGCACAACUCUUAGCAACGGAUAUCUCGGUUCUC